GUCUAUGAGUAUCAUGAUCUAAGGGAGAAGCAGUAUAGAGGUGUAUAUGGUGAUUGGAGAUUUCACGAUGAUUCUAAUUAUCUCAGUCCUAUUGAGGAAGAACAAGAUGAUGUUGAACCGGAUAACAAAGUUAUUGAUUUGACUGCUGGUGAUGAAGAUAAACAUCCACAGCAAACAUCUCAAAGUAAUGCAUCUGAAGCUCAACAUGAACAAUCUUCCACAUUCAACUAUCAAGAUCAAAAGGAGAGAUUGAUGAAGCGUUAUAUGCAGAUCAACAGAGUAUUCUCUUGCCGACUAACCUAUGUGCCUUAUGUAC
rnacentral:lncRNA from 1 species